CACUCAAUCAUUCAUCUUUUUCUUCUUCUUUUUCUUUGUUUAUUACUUGUUCUUCGUUUGGGGGUGAAGGAGGAACAUAUAGGUGAUAUGUUGUUGACAGAAGAUAGAGAGCACAGAUGAUGAUAUGCAAUUUCCUUUGUUUUUGAUAGACAUUUUACGAAUCACUACUGUGCAUCUCACUCCAUUUGUGCUCUCUAUGCUUCUGUCAUCACCUUCUUUGUCCACCUUCUUUAGCUUUGCUUUCCUUUUGCUGUCUCCUUUUUCUUGAUUUGUAGUUAAUUUUAUGUGUUGUUCUAUUUAAAAGUCUUUUAAAACUCUCAAGCAUUAUCUUAAAGUUGUGAAUUUGUGUCACUUGAGCGAUUAGUGAGCUGUUUGUCCUAAGAAAUGAGCUGAUUUCUGUGUUGGGUGUUUUGUGUUUGAGUUCAAAUUGUGCAAUUUUCAAGUCUUGUUUUGACAAGGGUUUUGAGUUUCACAUUCUUACAUCUUUUCUUCCACUUUCCCUUUUUGAUCAUCAAUACUGGUCCUUUGGUCCCGUAGAUUGUGAGGUUUCAUAUCAGUUUGAGAUGAGAACGAACCAUUUCUUAUCAGAGUCAGUCACUGGAUGAUGCACGACACUAAUCGGAGUAGGGCUAGACCGUCUCCAUAGUACCUUGAGGAGAAGUCCGGAAGGAAAAGUCCAAAGGGACAAUAUUGGCUAACGGUCAAACGACUCAUUUUUGGGUGAAUUGAGCAAAGAAAGGAUCAUAGAUGCACUUGAUGAAAUGAUGAAGGGGUGCAGCAUAUCUUAAUUACAAAGAUGCUAUAUGCCAUGAGAUAUUGAGAGAUUAAAGGGAAUAUUCCUCAAAAGAGAAGCAAAAAAACGAGGCUCUCACACGGAUCCUUCUCAGACAUCUUGAUCCAGUGGGUUUGAGACAAGAUUGAUAUUAAUGAUCUACUAAUGUUUCACCUUGUUAUGCAUGUGGAUUAAGAGACAUAAUCCUAGUUAGUGUUCUUUGUUAUGCAUGAAGAAGGAGUUGUUUUUGUUGGUGGGUUGAUGAGUAGCUAAUGAUAGACAGUGACAGCCCUUUGUGUGUGUUGUUGGAGCAAAUAAGAAGCACACAAAAGAGGAAAGAUUCCACUUGACUCUGCCCUUGUGGUCUCCCCCCUCCACCCACUUUCAUUCACUUAAUUCAUCGCCUUCAUUCAUAACAUGUACCCAACUUUGGAAUCAUAAUAUUCAAACUGCCUUCUAUUUUUCUUAAUCAACAUACAUGAGCAUCGGAUCGGAUGUUAUGAUUCAUAUCAGUAUUUGUUUCGAGUCGAUUUUCCUUUA